UUCUGCUCAAUGACAUGUUAAAUAGCCGCAGUACCUUGACUGUGCAAAGGUAGCAUAAUCAUUUGGCUUAUAAUUGAAGUCUGGAAUGAAGGAAAUAAUGGGUAACGACUGUCUUAAAUAAUAGUGUAGAAUUUGCUUAUCAGGUGAAAAUUCCUGAAGACAUAUAAUAGACGAGAAGACCCUAGAAAUUUUAUAUAAAAGUAUAGUGUACUUAUUAUUUUGUUGGGGCGACAGAAUAACAAAUAACUUAUUUUAUUGAAUUUGAAUUAACUGAUAAGAGAAAAUAAAUUACUCUAGGGAUAACAGCAUAAUUUGUUAAAGUUUGUGACCUCGAUGUUGGACUAGGGUUUUUAAUGGUCAAAAGCUAUUAACAUAGGCUCUGUUCGAGCUGGCACCCCUACGUGAUCUGAGUUCAGACCGGA
rnacentral:rRNA from 1 species